GUGGGGAAUAUUGCGCAAUGGGGGAAACCCUGACGCAGCGACGCCGUGUGAGGGAAGAAGGCUUUCGGGUCGUAAACCUCUGUCAGAAAGGAAGAACCUCCCAAGUCCGAAUAGGGCUUGGGACUGACGGUACUUUCAAAGGAAGCACCGGCUAACUCCGUGCCAGCAGCCGCGGUAAUACGGAGGGUGCAAGCGUUAAUCGGAAUCACUGGGCGUAAAGCGCGCGUAGGCCGCUUUGUAAGUCGGACGUGAAAGCCCUCGGCUCAACCGGGGAACUGCGUUCGAUACCGCGAGGCUUGAGUCCUGGAGAGGGUGGCGGAAUUCCGGGUGUAGGAGUGAAAUCCGUAGAUAUCCGGAGGAACACCGGUGGCGAAGGCGGCCACCUGGACAGGUACUGACGCUGAGGCGCGAAAGCGUGGGGAGCAAACAGGAUUAGAUACCCGGGUAGUCC
rnacentral:rRNA from 1 species